AUUUUUGUUAAUCCUUACACAGAGCCUGAUGAAGAGGAAGAAGAGGCCAAAGCUGAGGAGAAAGCUGAGGAUGAAGAUAAGGACAAGAUUGGGUCUUGGUAUAGCAAUCCGACCACAGGAACAGUAGAAUCUGGAUCUGCCGGUGGUGGUGGUGUUGGGAAGUACUUGAAAGCAAGGAGUGCUCUACCUGAAUCUGCUGCAGUUAAUGCUGGUUCGACGGAGCUUGCUUCAACAAAGAAAAGGAAAUUGGGAGUUUCCACAACAAACUACAAUAAUUUUUCUGCAUGGUAAUUGGUAAAUGUCCCAAAUGUUGUAUUGUACCAAAUGUAGAUAAUGUUUUGGAUGAGCGAGUAGGAAGAACAUUGUAAUCUGUUCUUUUGAGGUAUAAAAAGAGCAGAU